GUGGGGAAUAUUGCACAAUGGGCGCAAGCCUGAUGCAGCAACGCCGCGUGAGGGAUGACGGCCUUCGGGUUGUAAACCUCUUUUAGUAGGGAAGAAGCGAAAGUGACGGUACCUGCAGAAAAAGCACCGGCUAACUACGUGCCAGCAGCCGCGGUAAUACGUAGGGUGCAAGCGUUGUCCGGAAUUAUUGGGCGUAAAGAGCUCGUAGGCGGCUUGUCGCGUCUGCUGUGAAAACCCGAGGCUCAACCUCGGGCCUGCAGUGGGUACGGGCAAGCUAGAGUGCGGUAGGGGAGAUUGGAAUUCCUGGUGUAGCGGUGGAAUGCGCAGAUAUCAGGAGGAACACCGAUGGCGAAGGCAGAUCUCUGGGCCGUAACUGACGCUGAGGAGCGAAAGCAUGGGGAGCGAACAGGAUUAGAAACCCUGGUAGUCC
rnacentral:rRNA from 1 species